rnacentral:rRNA from 1 species
CAAGGCCCCCCUAGAGUUUGAUCUGGGGUCAAACGGGGUCUACAAGGGGACAAUACCUUCCACUGCWUGGUGGGGGGUUGAAAGCUCCGGCCGUGAAGGAUGAGCCCGCGGCCUAUCAGCUUGUUGGUGGGGUGAUGGCCUACCAAGGCGACGACGGGUAGCCGGCCUGAGAGGGCGACCGGCCACACUGGGACUGAGACACGGCCCAGACUCCUACGGGAGGCAGCAGUGGGGAAUAUUGCACAAUGGGCGAAAGCCUGAUGCAGCGACGCCGCGUGAGGGAUGACGGCCUUCGGGUUGUAAACCUCUUUCAGCAGGGAAGAAGCGAAAGUGACGGUACCUGCAGAAGAAGCGCCGGCUAACUACGUGCCAGCAGCCGCGGUAAUACGUAGGGCGCAAGCGUUGUCCGGAAUUAUU